CGCGUGGGAACGUGCCUUUCGGUUCGGGAUAACCCAGGGAAACUUGGGCUAAUACCGGAUACGCCCUUCGGGGGAAAGAUUCAUUGCCGAAAGAUCGGCCCGCGUCGGAUUAGCUAGUUGGUGGGGUAAAAGCCUACCAAGGCGACGAUCCGUAGCUGGUCUGAGAGGAUGACCAGCCACACUGGGACUGAGACACGGCCCAGACUCCUACGGGAGGCAGCAGUGGGGAAUAUUGGACAAUGGGCGAAAGCCUGAUCCAGCCAUGCCGCGUGGGUGAAGAAGGCCCUAGGGUUGUAAACC
rnacentral:rRNA from 1 species